GACGGAAGGUGCAAGCGUUGCUCGGAAUCACUGGGCGUAAAGGGUUCGUAGGCGGCCGUGCAAGUCUGGCGUGAAAGCCCCGGGCUCAGCCCGGGAAGUGCGCUCGAAACUGCGCGGCUCGAGUGCCGGAGGGGAGAGUGGAAUUCCUGGUGUAGCGGUGAAAUGCGUAGAUAUCGGGAAGAACACCCGUGGCGAAGGCGGCUCUCUGGGACGGUACUGACGCUGAGACGCGAAAGCGUGGGGAGCGAACAGG
rnacentral:rRNA from 1 species